AUAAAUAAAUUUGCACAUAAUUCAAAUAGCCACACACCCAAAACUGCCAAAAGCCCACCCAAACACUCAGCUCCUAUCAAAGAUGCAAAACAGAGCUAGCUUCCAGGGAGAGGGAGAGUGAACAAGCCCUAUUGAUCGAAACCCUAAAUUGUAGUCGCCGCCGCCGCCAUGGCCACUGCCACCACCACAGCGAUUCAUCUCCUUGCCGCUAGCGCCAAUGCCACCACGUGCUUCGACAUUCUCUUUUCCCAUUGGCUCUUCCGUCGGCGUGUCUCCUGAGGUUACGACACGGUAACGUGCUUCGACAUUCUCUUUUUCGUUGGCUCUUCCGUCGGCGCGUCUCCUGAGGUUACGACACGGAAGGAAUUUGGUUCAGACACUAUUGAAAUUUCGGGAAAACAAAGCUAAUGUGUGAUAACAUGAUUAAGUGGAGGAAGGAAUUCAGUUCGAAAACUAUUGUAGAGGACUUUGAUUUCAAGAAAAUGAAUGAAGUGAUAAUUCUUCUUUGAGCCUUAGACUACAACAAAAGUUUAUGUGAGCAUGAAGAGCUUGUUCCAGAUUUUUAAUUUUUUUUUUAAUUUUCCAGCUG